rnacentral:rRNA from 1 species
AUUGAACGCUGGCGGCAUGCCUUACACAUGCAAGUCGAACGGUAACGGGCCUUCGGGUGCCGACGAGUGGCGAACGGGUGAGUAAUGUAUCGGAACGUACCUUUCAGUGGGGGAUAACGUAGCGAAAGUUACGCUAAUACCGCAUAUUCUGUGAGCAGGAAAGCAGGGGAUCGCAAGACCUUGCGCUGAUUGAGCGGCCGAUGUUAGAUUAGCUAGUUGGUGAGGUAAAGGCUCACCAAGGCGACGAUCUGUAGCGGGUCUGAGAGGAUGAUCCGCCACACUGGAACUGAGACACGGUCCAGACUCCUACGGGAGGCAGCAGUGGGGAAUUUUGGACGAUGGGGGCAACCCUGAUCCAGCCAUGCCGCGUGAGUGAAGAAGGCCUUCGGGUUGUAAAGCUCUUUCGGCCGGGAAGAAAUCGCACGGGCUAAUACCCUGUGUGGAUGACGGUACCGGAAUAAGAAGCACCGGCUAACUACGUGCCAGCCGCCGCAGUAACAC